CAGAAUGCUUAUGAGGGCGCCUAAUAUCUCCCAAAGGAUACUGGAGCUGCCUCUCCCAGCGUCAGCUCAGGUGGACAUUCUGGAGGAGAAUCAGUUGAUUAAGUUUACAGCAAAAACCCAAGCUGCGGAUGGAAACAUUACAAUUCAAACUGAAACAAUACAAACAGUUCCAGUAUCAUCUUUAAUGACACAACGGAGCUCGAAAGGUGGAGGUGUGGACUGCCCAUGUCAGCUCAGCUAGAGCAGACAACUGCGUGGAUUAAAGACGGGAAGCUCUUUGUUAAGGUUCCCAAUGAUAAAGGAUUAUUUCCAUUAACAAACACCGACAGUCGUAUAAUGGGGUCGAAUACCGGAAAAUAAUGUGUGUGUGUGAGAUUCUUGUAAAACAACAACAUAUGCAUUGAUUGCUCUAUCUCAAUAAAUGAUUAAUUGAUUA